rnacentral:rRNA from 1 species
UACAGAGCCACGAGCGUUUAGGCGGAAUCACUGGGCUUAAAGCGCGUGUAGGCGGAUGUCUAAGUACCUUGUGAAAUCCCACGGCUCAACCGUGGAACUGCUUGGUAUACUGGAUGUCUUGAGGUGCUCAGGGGCGAGCGGAACAGACGGGUGGAGCGGUGAAAUGCGUAGAUAUCGUCUGGAACGCCAAUGGUGAAGACGAGCUCG